rnacentral:rRNA from 1 species
UGGGGAAUAUUGGACAAUGGGCGAAAGCCUGAUCCAGCAAUGCCGCGUGAGUGAUGAAGGCCUUAGGGUUGUAAAGCUCUUUUACCCGGGAUGAUAAUGACAGUACCGGGAGAAUAAGCCCCGGCUAACUCCGUGCCAGCAGCCGCGGUAAUACGGAGGGGGCUAGCGUUGUUCGGAAUUACUGGGCGUAAAGCGCACGUAGGCGGCUUUGUAAGUUAGAGGUGAAAGCCCGGGGCUCAACCCCGGAAUUGCCUUUAAGACUGCAUCGCUAGAAUUGUGGAGAGGUAAGUGGAAUUCCGAGUGUAGAGGUGAAAUUCGUAGAUAUUCGGAAGAACACCAGUGGCGAAGGCGACUUACUGGACACAUAUUGACGCUGAGGUGCGAAAGCGUGGGGAGCAAACA